UUUGGUGUUAAAGGUAAGCCCAACUCAUUAUAAACCCAAUAUUAAAUAAAUAAUUGAAUUGAAUUUGAUUAAUUGCUCCUAGGCCCAGAUUCUCAACAUGGUAUCAAAGCCUGGGACCCGAACCUGUAUGAGAGAAGUUCCCGUGUUGGGUCGUACCCUGAUGGACCCAUGUGUUGGGCCAUCGUAUGCUUGUCAAGUGGGUAGUCCCACUUGAGGGGGGAGUGUUGGAAUAUGUGGGUAAUCCCACAUCGAAUAAAUACAACUAAAUGAAAUGGCAUAUAAUGUGAAGGGUGAACCAACCAAAAUGGCUUAAGCCAUUU
rnacentral:lncRNA from 1 species